GACGAACGCUGGCGGCGUGCUUAACACAUGCAAGUCGUACGGUAAGGCCCUUUCGGGGGUACACGAGUGGCGAACGGGUGAGUAACACGUGAGUAACCUGCCCACAACUUUGGGAUAACGCUAGGAAACUGGUGCUAAUACUGGAUAUGUGCUCCUGCUGCAUGGUGGGGGUUGGAAAGCUCCGGCGGUUGUGGAUGGACUCGCGGCCUAUCAGCUUGUUGGUGGGGUAGUGGCCUACCAAGGCGGCGACGGGUAGCCGGCCUGAGAGGGUGACCGGCCACAUUGGGACUGAGAUACGGCCCAGACUCCUACGGGAGGCAGCAGGGGGGAAUAUUGCACAAUGGGCGCAAGCCUGAUGCAGCAACGCCGCGUGCGGGAUGACGGCCUUCGGGUUGUAAACCGCUUUCAGAAGGGACGAAGCUUUUUGUGACGGUACCUGCAGAAGAAGCACCGGCUAACUACGUG
rnacentral:rRNA from 1 species